GCGAAUGGUGGAUGCCUUGACUGGUAAAGGCGAUGAAGGACGUACUAGACUGCGAUAAGCUACGGGGAGCUGUCAAGAAGCUUUGAUCCGUAGAUUUCCGAAUGGGGCAACCCAAUGUAUAGAGAUAUACAUUACCUAUAUAGGAGCGAACGAGGGGAAUUGAAACAUCUUAGUACUCUCAGGAAAAGAAAUCAAUAGAGAUUGCGUCAGUAGCGGCGAGCGAAAGCGCAAGAGGGCAAACCCAGUGCUUGCACUGGGGGUUGUAGGACUGCAAUGUGCAAGAGCUGAGUUUAGCAGAACAUUCUGGAAAGUAUAGCCAUAGAGGGUGAUAGUCCCGUAUGCGAAAAACAAAGCUUAGCUAGCAGUAUCCUGAGUAGGGCGGGACACGAGAAAUCCUGUCUGAAUCCGGGUCGACCACGAUCCAACCCUAAAUACUAAUACCAGAUCGAUAGUGCACAAGUACCGUGAGGGAAAGGUGAAAAGAACUGAGGUGAUCAGAGUGAAAUAGAACCUGAAACCAUUUGCUUACAAUCAUUCAGAGCACUAUGUAGCAAUACAGUGUGAUGGACUGCCUUUUGCAUAAUGAGCCUGCGAGUUGUGGUGUCUGGCAAGGUUAAGCAAACGCGAAGCCGUAGCGAAAGCGAGUCUGAAUAGGGCGCUUAGUCAGAUGCUGCAGACCCGAAACGAAGUGAUCUAUCCAUGAGCAAGUUGAAGCUAGUGUAAGAACUAGUGGAGGACUGAACCCAUAGGCGUUGAAAAGCCCCGGGAUGACUUGUGGAUAGGGGUGAAAGGCCAAUCAAACUUCGUGAUAGCUGGUUCUCUCCGAAAUAUAUUUAGGUAUAGCGUUGUGUCGUAAUAUAAGGGGGUAGAGCACUGAAUGGGCUAGGGCAUACACCAAUGUACCAAACCCUAUCAAACUCCGAAUACCUUAUAUGUAAUCACAGCAGUCAGGCGGCGAGUGAUAAAAUCCGUCGUCAAGAGGGAAACAACCCAGACUACCAGCUAAGGUCCCUAAAUCUUACUUAAGUGGAAAACGAUGUGAAGUUACUUAAACAACCAGGAGGUUGGCUUAGAAGCAGCCAUCCUUUAAAGAAAGCGUAAUAGCUCACUGGUCUAGUGAUUUUGCGCGGAAAAUAUAACGGGGCUAAAGUAAGUACCGAAGCUGUAGACUUGCGCACAACUUAGAUUAUUUAAGUUUAGAAUAUGAGAAACUAAGUUAUGUUUAGUUAUAUUUUUACUGAUUUUUAUAGAGUAAAGAUAGAAAUAAAACUUAGUAAAAUCAGUAAAAAUAUUCUUAGGCUAAAGUUAAGUAGUUUAAGUUGUGUGCAAGUGGUAGGAGAGCGUUCUAUUUGCGUCGAAGGUAUACCGGUAAGGAGUGCUGGAGCGAAUAGAAGUGAGCAUGCAGGCAUGAGUAGCGAUAAUUAA
rnacentral:rRNA from 1 species